rnacentral:rRNA from 1 species
AUACGGAGGAUGCAAGCGUUAUCCGGAUUUAUUGGGUUUAAAGGGUGCGUAGGCUGUGGGGAAAGUCAGGGGUGAAAGCCCGGCGCUUAACGCCGGAACUGCCUUUGAUACUUCUCCGCUGGAAUACGGAUGCCGUGGGAGGAAUGAGUAGUGUAGCGGUGAAAUGCAUAGAUAUUACUCAGAACACCGAUUGCGAAGGCAUCUCACGAAUCCGUCAUUGACGCUGAGGCACGAAAGCGUGGGGAUCAAACAGGAUUAGAUACCCUGGUAGUCCACGCAGUAAACGAUGAUAACUAACCGUCGGCGAUACACAGUUGGUGGCCAAGCGAAAGCGAUAAGUUAUCCACCUGGGGAGUACGUUCGCAAGAAUGAAACUCAAAGGAAUUAACGGGG